rnacentral:tRNA from 1 species
GGCCCCUUGGCGGAAUUGGUAGACGCACGCGACUUAAAAUCGCGAGUUCCGUAAAGAACGUGCCGGUUCGAUUCCGGCAGGGGCCA